rnacentral:rRNA from 1 species
AACGAACGCUGGCGGCAGGCUUAACACAUGCAAGUCGAACGCACUCUUCGGAGUGAGUGGCAGACGGGUGAGUAACGCGUGGGAAUCUACCCAGCCCUUCGGAAUAGCUCCGGGAAACUGGAAUUAAUACCGAGUACGCCCUACGGGGGAAAGAUUUAUCAGGGUUGGAUGAGCCCGCGUUGGAUUAGCUAGUUGGUGGGGUAAUGGCCUACCAAGGCGACGAUCCAUAGCUGGUCUGAGAGGAUGAUCAGCCACACUGGGACUGAGACACGGCCCAGACUCCUACGGGAGGCAGCAGUGGGGAAUAUUGGACAAUGGGCGAAAGCCUGAUCCAGCCAUGCCGCGUGAGUGAUGAAGGCCUUAGGGUUGUAAAGCUCUUUCAGUGGGAAGAUAAUGACGGUACCCACAGAAGAAGCCCCGGCUAACUUCGUGCCAGCCGCCGCGGUAAU